rnacentral:pre_miRNA from 1 species
AUGGCAAUCACCUUUGUGUCUUAUUAAAAUGCAGAUCCUGAUUCAGCAAGGCCAGGGUGGGGCCUGAGAUUUUUCAUUUCUAACAAGUUCCUGGAUGAUACAGAU